GACAGAGGGUGCAAACGUUGCUCGGAAUCACUGGGCGUAAAGGGCGUGUAGGCGGGAAUGUAAGUCGGGCGUGAAAGCCCCAGGCUCAACCUGGGAACUGCACUCGAAACUGCGUUUCUUGAGUAUCGGAGAGGAAAGCGGAAUACCUGGUGUAGAGGUGAAAUUCGUAGAUAUCAGGUGGAACACCAGUGGCGAAGGCGGGUCUCUGGGCCGAUACUGACGCUGAGGAGCGAAAGCGUGGGGAGCGAACAGG
rnacentral:rRNA from 1 species